UAUAUAAUUGAAACAUGUUGGUAAAGCUUUCUAAAAUAUUCGAUAAAUCAUAUUUGAUCCAGAUCCUAUCCGGCCCAAACCGAACCUGAUAAAAUAUAGAUAGCUAACGGGUAAAAAAAAAUUAUCCAUUAAAGUUUCGAGUAUGAAUACGGAUAUUUUAUACCCAUACCUGAUUUGGACCCGAUCCAAACCCAACUUUUAAAUGGGUAGGAUCCGAAAUAGUUUUCAAAUCUAGACCCAGACUCAAAUCUGAUGAUAUAUCCGAUAGUAAAUAAAAAAGAUUUGAACUUUUGAAGUUGAGAGAUCAAUUUUAAUAGGACUUAUAAAUGAAGGGUCUCUAAAUAUUUUUAUUCUAAUAAAACACUAAAAUCCUAGCCGCUCUUUUACUCUUUUUUAAAUUUUUUUUUAAUUUUUUAUUUUUUACUCUUUAUUUUUUUGUUUCAUUUCCGCCUAAGAGUUUUUUAUGAAACAAUAUUUCUAUCAUUGUCAUCAUCAACAAUAUUAAUCUUAUAUAGGCGUGGCACAAAUGAGUUUUUUCCAAAUCCCUUCUCCAAUCAUAGUCAACAACCUAGUUUUUUUUUAAUAAAUAUUCUAUUUAGUAAAUUUUCUGAUUCCUCUUUAUUUUUUUUCCUUUUUUUUUAAUAUUAAUAUAUAAAUAUUAGUAAUUAUUACAACUUAUAUUCUCUUUAUCUAUAUCAUGGUAUCAUAAUUUUCUUAUUUUUGCGUGCUUAUAUAUGAAAUUGUUUUAAAUUUUAGGCUUUUAAUUAAUCAAUCAAUAUAAUGGCCGAAAUAAGUUCUGUCCAGAUAAUUUAAUAAAGUCUAUAAAAAAAUAUAUAUGUAUAUGAAUAUCCGUACCCGAUUUAGACUCGACCUAUAUCCGGUCAUGAAUGGGUAAUGUACGGGUAGGGUAGUCACUACCCAUACCCACUCAAAUAGACCCAAUGGGUAUAUUAAUAACUUAAAAUAUCCAGACCCGAAUUCGACCCGAAGUUAAAUGGAUAGAGUUUUUUUUUUUUUGUAACCAUUUUUUUUAGGGUAUGGAUACCGACCGUUCCUAGAGUAAGUGGCAAAGGGCUUGAUGGUUGGUACCCGAGACCCAAGUUUGAAUCCUAGUUGAUUCACAUUUCUAGCUAAGUUUAUUUCUAAAUGAAAUAAACGAAGCGGAUAGCGUGCUAUCUAUCUCUCUCACAAAAAAAAAAAAAAAAAAAAAAAAAAAAAAAAAA
rnacentral:lncRNA from 1 species